CCUACGGGAGGCAGCAGUGGGGAAUAUUGCGCAAUGGGCGAAAGCCUGACGCAGCGACGCCGCGUGAGGGAUGAAGGUCUUCGGAUCGUAAACCUCUGUCAGCAGGGAAGAACGGUCACUGUGCUAAUCAGCAGUGAAUUGACGGUAACUGCAAAGGAAGCACCGGCUAACUCCGUGCCAGCAGCCGCGGUAAUACGGAGGGUGCGAGCGUUAAUCGGAAUUACUGGGCGUAAAGCGAGCGUAGGCGGUAUGUCAAGUCAAGGGUGAAAUCCCCGCGCUCAACGUGGGAACUGCCUUUGAAACUGGCAAGCUGGAGUGUGUGAGAGGUUAGUGGAAUUCCAGGUGUAGGGGUGAAAUCCGUAGAUAUCUGGAGGAACAUCAGUGGCGAAGGCGACUAUCUGGCACAUAACUGACGCUGAGGCGCGAAAGCGUGGGUAGCAAACAGGAUUAGAUACCCUUGUAGUC
rnacentral:rRNA from 1 species